UAUUUGUUUUCUAUCAAUUUAGUCCCUUAUUCUCUUUUAAUCCUAACCCUUGAUCUAGAAAGGCUAUUGAUCUUAAACUGCCAUGUGGCAGCUCUCAGAUCCCUCUUUCCUUUCAUCUCUGCCCGAAACACAUCUCAGAAUCUCACAGCUCUCUUUCUUUCGGUUUCUUCUCUCUCUUUCUCACACUCUCUAAGCUCCGAGAGCUUCUCUCUAACUUUCACCUCAUUUCCUUCACAAAUCAAACCCCAAAAACCAUAUAUUUGGAAUCCUUGAGACCUAACGAACUCAAUGGUACCCUUGCAUGCGCCAUCUGAGCACCGUGGGUUUUUAUACCAUUGAAGCCGAGAGCUUCAAAGCUCUAAAACUCGAACCCAGCUCUGACGAUGAACUCCGACGAGUUCGAGGUCCAUCUCUUCCCAAAACCUGCUGCAGUGCGUCUAGGUGAAGUUGCUAGUGGAGACUUCCUUAAUCUUUUUCCGCACAAUUCUGCUGCUUCGGAGUAUCUGUGAGUGGACCACCUUCGAAAAUUGCAUGUUUUAUUGAUAGAAUUGCAUAAUUUAAUAGCAUGCCUUGCAGAAUUAUUGAUUUGAGGAAUACUUUACAGGAAGCAUGAUGAUUUGAUUAUACGUGAUUAUAUAUAUAUGUUUUGAAUUAUUUCCAUUAUAUCGUAUUUUCUAUAGAACCCUCAUUCUGGUAGACUAUCUGAUCGAUGACGAUAGGAUGCUAAGAAUGUGUUUCAAAUGACUUUCGAACACCUCUUCGUAGUAUAGAGGAUCGAUGAAUUUAGGCUACGAAGUUGUAUUUUAGAGAUGAAUUAUGUUUUGUGCGUACCUAGUGAACACUAUGCCGCCUGGGGCGAGGAUCUGGUGUUGGCAUUGAGGCCGGGAGAAAUAAUCCCUAGCGAAAGGCUGAGGGACACGGAGACAGGCAUUGGGCCGGG